UGCGUAGGCGGUUCUGUGUGUCAGAUGUGAAAUCUCACCGUCCAACGGUGAAACUGCAUUUGAAACUGCAGGGCUAGAGUACAGGAGGGGAGAGCGGAAUUCUUGGUGUAGCGGUGAAAUGCGUAGAUAUCGAGAAGAACGCCGGUGGCGAAGGCGGCUCUCUGGACUGAUACUGACGCUGAGGCACGAAAGUUGGGGGAGCGAACA
rnacentral:rRNA from 1 species